rnacentral:rRNA from 1 species
AGAGUUUGAUCCUGGCUCAGGAUGAACGCUAGCUACAGGCUUAACACAUGCAAGUCGAGGGGCAGCAGGGAGAAAGCUUGCUUCUUGCUGGCGACCGGCGCACGGGUGAGUAACGCGUAUCCAACCUUCCCCCUAGUAGGGGAUAGCCCGGCGAAAGUCGGAUUAAUACCCUAUGUUCUUCGCAUGAGGCAUCGAAAGCGAAGCAAAGGAUUUCCGCUAAGGGAUGGGGAUGCGUCUGAUUAGGUUGUUGGCGGGGUAACGGCCCACCAAGCCUACGAUCAGUAGGGGUUCUGAGAGGAAGGUCCCCCACAUUGGAACUGAGACACGGUCCAAACUCCUACGGGAGGCAGCAGUGAGGAAUAUUGGUCAAUGGCCGAGAGGCUGAACCAGCCAAGUAGCCGUGCAGGAUGACGGCCCUAUGGGUUGUAAACUGCUUUUAUACGGGGAUAAAGUGAGGGACGUGUCCCUUUUUGUAGGUACCGUAUGAAUAAGGACCGGCUAAUUCCGUGCCAGCAGCUGC